AUUGAACGCUGGCGGCAGGCCUAACACAUGCAAGUCGAACGGUAACAGGAAGAAGCUUGCUUCUUUGCUGACGAGUGGCGGACGGGUGAGUAAUGUCUGGGAAACUGCCUGAUGGAGGGGGAUAACUACUGGAAACGGUAGCUAAUACCGCAUAACGUCGCAAGACCAAAGAGGGGGACCUUCGGGCCUCUUGCCAUCGGAUGUGCCCAGAUGGGAUUAGCUUGUUGGUGGGGUAACGGCUCACCAAGGCGACGAUCCCUAGCUGGUCUGAGAGGAUGACCAGCCACACUGGAACUGAGACACGGUCCAGACUCCUACGGGAGGCAGCAGUGGGGAAUAUUGCACAAUGGGCGCAAGCCCGAUGCAGCCAUGCCGCGUGUAUGAAGAAGGCCUUCGGGUUGUAAAGUACUUUCAGCGGGGAGGAAGGGAGUAAAGUUAAUACCUUUGCUCAUUGACGUUACCCGCAGAAGAAGCACCGGCUAACUCCGUGCCAGCAGCCGCGGUAAUACGGAGGGUGCAAGCGUUAAUCGGAAUUACUGGGCGUAAAGCGCACGCAGGCGGUUUGUUAAGUCAGAUGUGAAAUCCCCGGGCUCAACCUGGGAACUGCAUCUGAUACUGGCAAGCUUGAGUCUCGUAGAGGGGGGUAGAAUUCCAGGUGUAGCGGUGAAAUGCGUAGAGAUCAGGAGGAAUACCGGUGGCGAAGGCGGCCCCCUGGACGAAGACUGACGCUCAGGUGCGAAAGCGUGGGGAGCAAACAGGAUUAGAUACCCUGGUAGUCCACGCCGUAAACGAUGUCGACUUGGAGGUUGUGCCCUUGAGGCGUGGCUUCCGGAGCUAACGCGUUAAGUCGACCGCCUGGGGAGUACGGCCGCAAGGUUAAAACUCAAAUGAAUUGACGGGGGCCCGCACAAGCGGUGGAGCAUGUGGUUUAAUUCGAUGCAACGCGAAGAACCUUACCUGGUCUUGACAUCCACGGAAGUUUUCAGAGAUGAGAAUGUGCCUUCGGGAACCGUGAGACAGGUGCUGCAUGGCUGUCGUCAGCUCGUGUUGUGAAAUGUUGGGUUAAGUCCCGCAACGAGCGCAACCCUUAUCCUUUGUUGCCAGCGGUCCGGCCGGGAACUCAAAGGAGACUGCCAGUGAUAAACUGGAGGAAGGUGGGGAUGACGUCAAGUCAUCAUGGCCCUUACGACCAGGGCUACACACGUGCUACAAUGGCGCAUACAAAGAGAAGCGACCUCGCGAGAGCAAGCGGACCUCAUAAAGUGCGUCGUAGUCCGGAUUGGAGUCUGCAACUCGACUCCAUGAAGUCGGAAUCGCUAGUAAUCGUGGAUCAGAAUGCCACGGUGAAUACGUUCCCGGGCCUUGUACACACCGCCCGUCACACCAUGGGAGUGGGUUGCAAAAGAAGUAGGUAGCUUAACCUUCGGGAGGGCGCUUACCACUUUGUGAUUCAUGACUGGGGUGAAGUC
rnacentral:rRNA from 1 species